rnacentral:rRNA from 1 species
ACGCUGGCGGCACGCCUAAACACAUGCAAGUCGAACGAAGUAGCAAUACUUAGUGGCAGACGGGUGAGUAACAUGUAGGUAUCUGCCCUUUGGCCUGGAAUAACACGAGGAAACUUGUGCUAAUACCGGAUAAGUCUUUACGGAGAAAGCUUUAUGCACCAUUGGAUGAGCCUGCACUUGAUUAGUUUGUUGGUAGGGUAAUGGCCUACCAAGACUGUGAUCAAUAGCUGAUUUGAGAGGAUGAUCAGCCACAUUGGGACUGAGACACGGCCCAAACUCCUACGGGAGGCAGCAGUGGGGAAUCUUGCACAAUGGAGGAAACUCUGAUGCAGCGAUGCCGCGUGAGUGAAGAAGGCCUUUGGGUUGUAAAGCUCUUUCGUCGGGGAAGAAAAUGACUGUACCCGAAUAAGAAGGUCCGGCUAACUUCGUGCCAGCAGCCGCGGUAAUACGAAGGGACCUAGCGUAGUUCGGAAUUACUGGGCCUAAAGAGUUCGUAGGUGGUUGAAAAAGUUAGUGGUGAAAUCCCAGAGCUUAACUCUGGAACUGCCAUUAAAACUUUUCAGCUAGAGUAUGAUAGAGGAAAGCAGAAUUUCUAGUGUAGAGGUGAAAUUCGUAGAUAUUAGAAAGAAUACCGAUUGCGAAGGCAGCUUUCUGGAUCAUUACUGACACUGAGGAACGAAAGCAUGGGUAGCGAAGAGGAUUAGAUACCCUCGUAGUCCAUGCCGUAAACGAUGUGUGUUAGACGUUGGAAAUUUAUUUUCAGUGUCGCAGGGAAACCGAUAAACACACCGCCUGGGGAGUACGACCGCAAGGUUAAAACUCAAAUGAAUUGACGGGGACCCGCACAAGUAGUGGAGCAUGUGGUUUAAUUCGAAGAUACGCGCAGAACCUUACCAACACUUGACAUGUUCGUCGCGACUCUAAGAGAUUAGAGUUUUCGGUUCGGCCGGACGAAACACAGGUGCUGCAUGGCUGUCGUCAGCUCGUGUCGUGAGAUGUUGGGUUAAGUCCCGCAACGAGCGCAACCCUCACUUUUAGUUGCCAUCAUUAAGUUGGGCACUCUGAAAGAACUGCCAGUGAUAAGCUGGAGGAAGGUGGGGAUGACGUCAAGUCCUCAUGGCCCUUACGUGUUGGGCUACACACGUGCUACAAUGGUAUCUACAACAGGAAGCAAGACUGCGAAGUUAAGCAAAUCCCUAAAAGAUACCUCAGUUCGGAUUGCACUCUGCAACUCGAGUGCAUGAAGCUGGAAUUACUAGUAAUCGUGGAUCAGCGUGCCACGGUGAAUGCGUUCCCGGGUCUUGUACACACCGC